AUUUAUAUAGUUUAACAAAAACAUUACAUUUUCAUUGUAAAAAUAAAAUUAUUUUUUUUAUAAAUU
rnacentral:tRNA from 1 species